rnacentral:rRNA from 1 species
GCUGGGUGGAUUAGUGGCGAACGGGUGAGUAACACGUGAGUAACCUGCCCUUAACUCUGGGAUAAGCCUGGGAAACUGGGUCUAAUACCGGAUAGGAGCGCCUACCGCAUGGUGGGUGUUGGAAAGAUUUAUCGGUUUUGGAUGGACUCGCGGCCUAUCAGCUUGUUGGUGAGGUAAUGGCUCACCAAGGCGACGACGGGUAGCCGGCCUGAGAGGGUGACCGGCCACACUGGGACUGAGACACGGCCCAGACUCCUACGGGAGGCAGCAGUGGGGAAUAUUGCACAAUGGGCGCAAGCCUGAUGCAGCGACGCCGCGUGAGGGAUGACGGCCUUCGGGUUGUAAACCUCUUUCAGUAGGGAAGAAGCGAAAGUGACGGUACCUGCAGAAGAAGCACCGGCUAACUACGUGCCAGCAGCCGCGGUAAUACGUAGGGUGCGAGCGUUAUCCGGAAUUAUUGGGCGUAAAGAGCUCGUAUGCGGUUUGUCACGUCUGUCGUGAAAGUCCGGGGCUUAACCCCGGAUCUGCGGUGGGUACGGGUAGACUAGAAUUCAGUAUGGGAUACUGGAUUCCUGGUGUAGCGGUGGAAUGCGCAGAUAUCAGGAGGAACACCGAUGGCGAAGGCAGGUCUCUGGGCUGUAACUGACGCUGAGGAGCGAAAGCAUGGGGAGCGAACAGGAUUAGAUACCCUGGUAGUCCAUGCCGUAAACGUUGGGCACUAGGUGUGGGGACCAUUCCACGGUUUCCGCGCCGCAGCUAACGCAUUAAGUGCCCCGCCUGGGGAGUACGGCCGCAAGGCUAAAACUCAAAGGAAUUGACGGGGGCCCGCACAAGCGGCGGAGCAUGCGGAUUAAUUCGAUGCAACGCGAAGAACCUUACCAAGGCUUGACAUGUUCUCGAUCGCCGUAGAGAUACGGUUUCCCCUUUGGGGCGGGUUCACAGGUGGUGCAUGGUUGUCGUCAGCUCGUGUCGUGAGAUGUUGGGUUAAGUCCCGCAACGAGCGCAACCCUCGUUCCAUGUUGCCAGCACGUCGUGGUGGGGACUCAUGGGAGACUGCCGGGGUCAACUCGGAGGAAGGUGAGGACGACGUCAAAUCAUCAUGCCCCUUAUGUCUUGGGCUUCACGCAUGCUACAAUGGCCGGUACAAUGGGUUGCGAUACUGUGAGGUGGAGCUAAUCCCAAAAAGCCGGUCUCAGUUCGGAUUGGGGUCUGCAACUCGACCCCAUGAAGUCGGAGUCGCUAGUAAUCGCAGAUCAGCAACGCUGCGGUGAAUACGUUCCCGGGCCUUGUACACACCGCCCGUCAAGUCACGAAAGUCGGUAACACCCGAAGCCGGUGGCCUAACCC